rnacentral:rRNA from 1 species
ACUCCUACGGGAGGCAGCAGUAGGGAAUUUUUCGCAAUGGAGGAAACUCUGACGGAGCAAUACCGCGUGUGGGAAGAAGAUUUUCGGAUUGUAAACCACUGUUGUAAGGGAAGAACGUUAUUAGUAGGAAAUGGCUAAUAAGUGACGGUACCUUACCAGAAAGGGACGGCUAACUACGUGCCAGCAGCCGCGGUAAUACGUAGGUCCGAGCGUUAAUCGGAAUUACUGGGCGUAAAGCGCAUGCAGGCGGCCUGUUAAGUCAGAUGUGAAAGCCCGGGGCUUAACCUCGGAAUUGCAUUUGAAACUGGCAGGCUAGAGUCUUGUAGAGGGGGGUAGAAUUUCAGGUGUAGCGGUGAAAUGCGUAGAGAUCUGAAGGAAUACCAGUGGCGAAGGCGGCCCCUGGACAAAGACUGACGCUCAGAUGCGAAAGCGUGGGGAGCAAACAGGAUUAGAUACCCUGGUAGACUGUCA